rnacentral:rRNA from 1 species
AUUAGUGGCGAACGGGUGAGUAACACGUGAGUAACCUGCCCUUGACUCUGGGAUAACCUCCGGAAACGGAAGCUAAUACCGGAUACGAACUGCGAAGGCAUCUUCAGCAGUUGGAAAGAACUUCGGUCAAGGAUGGACUCGCGGCCUAUCAGGUAGUUGGUGAGGUAACGGCCCACCAAGCCUACGACGGGUAGCCGGCCUGAGAGGGUGACCGGCCACACUGGGACUGAGACACGGCCCAGACUCCUACGGGAGGCAGCAGUGGGGAAUAUUGCACAAUGGGCGCAAGCCUGAUGCAGCAACGCCGCGUGAGGGAUGACGGCCUUCGGGUUGUAAACCUCUUUUAGUAGGGAAGAAGCGAAAGUGACGGUACCUGCAGAAAAAGCACCGGCUAACUACGUGCCAGCAGCCGCGGUAAUACGUAGGGUGCGAGCGUUGUCCGGAAUUAUUGGGCGUAAAGAGCUCGUAGGCGGUCUGUCGCGUCUGCUGUGAAAACCCGAGGCUCAACCUCGGGCCUGCAGUGGGUACGGGCAGACUAGAGUGCGGUAGGGGAGAAUGGAAUUCCUGGUGUAGCGGUGGAAUGCGCAGAUAUCAGGAGGAACACCGAUGGCGAAGGCAGUUCUCUGGGCCGUAACUGACGCUGAGGAGCGAAAGCGUGGGGAGCGAACAGGAUUAGAUACCCUGGUAGUCCACGCCGUAAACGUUGGGCGCUAGAUGUGGGGACCAUUCCACGGUUUCCGUGUCGCAGCUAACGCAUUAAGCGCCCCGCCUGGGGAGUACGGCCGCAAGGCUAAAACUCAAAGGAAUUGACGGGGGCCCGCACAAGCGGCGGAGCAUGCGGAUUAAUUCGAUGCAACGCGAAGAACCUUACCAAGGCUUGACAUAUACGAGAACGGGCUAGAAAUAGUCAACUCUUUGGACACUCGUAAACAGGUGGUGCAUGGUUGUCGUCAGCUCGUGUCGUGAGAUGUUGGGUUAAGUCCCGCAACGAGCGCAACCCUCGUUCUAUGUUGCCAGCACGUAAUGGUGGGAACUCAUAGGAGACUGCCGGGGUCAACUCGGAGGAAGGUGGGGAUGACGUCAAAUCAUCAUGCCCCUUAUGUCUUGGGCUUCACGCAUGCUACAAUGGCCGGUACAAAGGGCUGCAAUACCGCAAGGUGGAGCGAAUCCCAAAAAGCCGGUCUCAGUUCGGAUUGAGGUCUGCAACUCGACCUCAUGAAGUCGGAGUCGCUAGUAAUCGCAGAUCAGCAACGCUGCGGUGAAUACGUUCCCGGGCCUUGUACAC